AACCUCCAGUUAGUGAUUCCAGAGCUGGCCAGUCAAUCUCUUCAACCAAGCCUAAUGACAUCAUCAAUUAUUGCUUCACCUCGACAGAAUUCCCGGAGCAAACUUCUGGAAAAGUGAGGAGAUCGAGCACAAGUCAGCUGUGGAGAUGACAGCAGAGCUGGACCGAGAGCCGGCCUCCGGGCUUCGUCCUCGGCUUUGGUUGCGUCACAUGUGUACCCUCAGGACUUCAAGUACAAUGCUGGAAAGAAGAGUUGAUGUGGACAUUUUUGUCUUGUUCCUGAUUUUAAAGCAAUGCUUCAAAUCUUUCGCCUUGAAGAAUGAUGUUUGCUGUAAUUAUUUGAUAAAAGCUCUUUAUCAGGUAGGACAUUUC